rnacentral:rRNA from 1 species
AGGGUUCGAUCAUGGCUCAGAUUGAACGCUGGCGGUAGGUUUUAUACAUGCAAGUCGAGCGGUAACAGACAUUUUGAUUCAGCUUGCUGAAUCUCGUGCUGACGAGCGGCGAACGGGUGAGUAACACGUAGGAAUCUACCCAGUAGCGGGGGAUAGCCCGAGGAAACUCGGAUUAAUACCGCAUACGCCCUGAGGGGGAAAGGGGGCAUCUUUGAUGCUCUUACUAUUGGAGGAGCCUGCGUAAGAUUAGCUUGUUGGUAGGGUAAUGGCCUACCAAGGCAACGAUCUUUAGCUGGUCUGAGAGGACGAUCAGCCACAUUGGGACUGAGACACGGCCCAGACGUCUACGGACGGCAGCAGUAGAGAAUAUUGGACAAUGAGGGAAACCUUGAUCCAGCCAUACCGCGUGUGUGAAGAAGGCCUUAGGGUUGUAAAGCACUUUAAGCGAUGAAGAAGGAAAGUAAGUUAAUACCUUACUUUUUUGACAUUACUCGCAGAAUAAGUACCGGCUAACUCCGUGCCAGCCGCCGCGGUAAUUC